GUUUGAUGCAUUAUGAGCAUGUAUAAUCUGAAGACAUGCUGCUGAAGUAUUCAAACACACAUUCCCACCAAGCCGCCACAUUUCGACUGUAUUUCUGUUCUCUGCUGGCUAAAA